rfam:Pseudomonas sp. BAY1663 contig000097, whole genome shotgun sequence.
CCUCUUCGAUCUGCUGUGGGCAGAUGAAGUGGAUGUGGGUAUCGAUGCCGCCGGCGGUGAGGAUCAUGCCCUCGCCGGCGAUCACCUCGGUGGCGCCGCCGAUGGCGAUGCUCACGCCGGGCUGGAUGUCCGGGUUGCCGGCCUUGCCGAUGGCGGCGAUGCGCCCGUCCUUGAGGCCGACGUCGGCCUUGACGAUGCCCCAGUGGUCGAGGAUCAGCGCAUUGGUGAUGACCGUGUCGACCACCUCGGCGGCGCCCAGUUGGCCCUGGCCCAUGCCGUCGCGGAUG